UACGAGGGGGGCAAAUGUUGUUCGGAUUCAUUGGGCGUAAAGGGUGCGUAGGUGGCGCCAUAAGUCAGGUGUGAAAUCUCGGAGCUCAACUCCGAAACUGCACUUGAUACUGUGGUGCUGGAGUACUGGAGAGGAGAUUGGAAUCUACGGUGUAGCAGUGAAAUGCGUAGAUAUCGUAAGGAAGACCAGUGGCGAAGGCGAAUCUCUGGACAGUUACUGACACUGAGGCACGAAGGCCAGGGAAGCAAACAGG
rnacentral:rRNA from 1 species